rnacentral:siRNA from 1 species
GAAACUUUAUAGCUUGUGCCUUC